UCCGAAUUGGUGUAGUGGCUAACAUAUGUCGCUCUCAACUUCGAUAUCCUUACCUUGACUUGAAAUAAAGUACCGACAUGCCCGGGGUUCGAUUCCCCGAUUCGGAG